rnacentral:rRNA from 1 species
UACAGAGGUGGCAAGCGUUGUUCGGAAUUACUGGGCGUAAAGGGCGCGUAGGCGGCCUCGCAAGUCCCGUGUGAAAUCCCUCGGCUCAACUGAGGAAUGGCACGGGAAACUGCGGGGCUUGAGUUCGGGAGAGGGAAGCGGAAUUCCGGGUGUAGCGGUGAAAUGCGCAGAUAUCAGGAAGAACACCCGUGGCGAAGGCGGCUCUCUGGGACGGUACUGACGCUGAGACGCGAAAGCGUGGGGAGCGAACAGG